AACGAACGCUGGCGGCAUGCCUAACACAUGCAAGUCGAACGAGACCUUCGGGUCUAGCGGCGCACGGGUGCGUAACGCGUGGGAACCUGCCCUUAGGUUCGGAAUAACUCCCCGAAAGGGGUGCUAAUACCGGAUAAUGUCUUCGGACCAAAGAUUUAUCGCCUUUGGAUGGGCCCGCGUUGGAUUAGCUAGUUGGUAGGGUAAAAGCCUACCAAGGCGACGAUCCAUAGCUGGUCUGAGAGGAUGAUCAGCCACACUGGGACUGAGACACGGCCCAGACUCCUACGGGAGGCAGCAGUGGGGAAUAUUGGUCAAUGGGCGAAAGCCUGAUCCAGCAAUGCCGCGUGAGUGAUGAAGGCCUUAGGGUUGUAAAGCUCUUUUACCCGGGAUGAUAAUGACAGUACCGGGAGAAUAAGCUCCGGCUAACUCCGUG
rnacentral:rRNA from 1 species